AGUGGUUUAUAGUCCCAUUAACAUUUAAUGAGGGCUCCACUUUCCCCGCAGCAGGCGUGUGCUGCUGUUACUGGUCUUUGCCACUUUGAUUGAGACAGACGGACUGGGGAUUUCUCCAUCACUGUUGCACAUAAGAAGAGUGGUGAUAGGAAGAGUGGACACAGCAGUGUUCAUACCAGGCACUGUCCUGGAGCCAGUGAUGCCAGAGGGAGCAAGCCUCCUACCCUACAAAACUCAUCUCCUGUGACCUUCUAGCCUGAGUCAAGCUGGGAUCGUCAUUGCUCUGUGUGGGCAAGGUUACAUCACAGCUUGGCAGUCUCUCCCUUUGGACCAGGGUCUGCGGUGCAGGAGAUGGAAGAAGAGAAGACGGCAGCAAUAAAGCAAUUUCUACUGGUUAAAUAGCUUCCUGCCACUGCCUAGAUCUCUGCUGCUAUCAGAAUGAGUUGUGAAAGUUCUUAUGAGGAGGAGGAAAUGGUUACUGCAGGAGACUCAUCACUGAUGAAACUGGAAUAGGUUACUCUUUCUGUAAUGGGGGUACUAUUUCUGUAGUAUGGUAGCCCAAUGCUCACUCACUCAAUAAAGGACUAUACAAAUACCAGCUGACAUUCAAGAACCUGGACACGUCAUAGAGGAAAAUCAGAGGAAAGGCAUGGCUAUAAACCCACAGUGACCAACAGCGACAAAUAGCACUAUUCAAAAAUGAUGAAAAGCCCACUUCUUUGUUAAGCUGAUUACAUAACAGUUUCGUGUGCUAGAGACAAACAAUGCUUAUUUUAGGUCUCAUCAACAUAGUUUCUUCCACUUGACCUGAUAAUUGUCUGACAGGUGGUCACAAGACCAUAUCACUAUAACCUCAGUUAACAUGUAUACCUCAAAUGGAUUGCAUUGACCUUUCACACUUUCUUCUAUCAGGAAGAAAUUAGAAACUUCAACUUAAUGACAGCAUAUAGGAAAGAACCCAUGAAAAGUUAGAGAAAAAAGAGAUGAAGAAAGCAAAGAGUAAAUAUAAAAUAAGGAAGACACAAGCAAUAUUCUUCGAAGAUCCGUAUGGUCUCAUAAAGGAGUAUAUCAUGAUAUACUUUAUUAUACAACAAAGUUCUAUUAAAAAGAUAGUGUGGAUUUACUUUCUUCUGCUUAUAAUCAACAGAGCAUUCCUUUAAGAAUUUUUGUUAUACACAUAUGCUGGGAAGGCCAAUUGCAGGGUGCGUGGUGUCUGCAUAUGUAGCUCUGAGGAAACAAGUAGAAUUAUUGCAGUUAUGGAUAUCUAAAAGCCAGGCUCACAGUACACGAAAUCAUCAAUCUUUUAAAAAUAUUCAAGUAUAUGGUUAUUACUUCUAGAUUUAAUUUAUUCCCAAUUAAGUUGUCUUAUUACCAGACUUAUGUAUUCCAUUUUCUAAAUACCCCUAUUUGUUUGCUUCUCUGUAUUUCAUAUAAAUGUAUCAAUUCCUAGUCAUAAUUCCUUGCAUCCCUUAUUCCAGCACACAUCCCAUUAAUAUUUGCUGAAUGGAGAUUUUAUGAUUAAAGUAAGUUGCUUACUUUGGGUCCAAAAUGCCAAUGGUUUAAUUAAUGUUACUCAUUUCCUACCAAAAUUGCUAGGCGUUUAGCUCUUAUCUUCCAGGGAUUUUUUUUCUUUCAUAUUUGCAUUAAACAGAAACAUAAGCUUUGCUAAGGUUAAUAUAAGUCUUGGCUUGUAAGCACUGAGAUGGAAACCAAGGAAAGAGAGUAACUUUAUCAACAAAUACUUGUAAUGUUUAUUUCACGUAAUCCUUUUAAAAGCCUUACAGCAUGCUAUUGCCUUUCAUGCUGCAGGGUUCUCAGUGUGCCAGCAGAUAAACAGACUUUGGCUUUGUGAGGCAGUCGCAGUGCCAGUCAAUGCUCUGCUUUGAGGAAGACAGUGCCCUUCCUGUGAAAGGGCAGGCCACACCAGGGCAGUGCAGUGAGGUCUACCAUGUUCCAAGUGCACAGUGUUUCAAGCAUCCCUUAGUCUGUCUAGCUCUCAGUCCCCAAGGUACUGACUACACUUUCCUCAAACUAGUUAAAGUUGUCAAAAGAGGCUUGAUUUCAUCCUGGGAAAAUAAAGACUUUUUUUUAUUUUUUCCCCUCAAUUUGUGUGUCAUUCUUAGCACUUGCAGACGAAGAAUGAAGUAAACACUGUUCUCUUGAGGUUUUGAACCUUUAAUAAUGUAAUAAAACUGCUAGAUUUAUGGAACUAUUGACUC
rnacentral:lncRNA from 1 species